GACGAACGCUGGCGGCGUGCUUAACACAUGCAAGUCGAACGAGAAAGCACCUUCGGGUGUGAGUACAGUGGCGAACGGGUGAGUAACACGUGGGCAACCUGCCCUAGAGACUGGGAUAACGUCCCGAAAGGGACGCUAAUACCGGAUGACGCGCGAUCUGCCAAGUAGGUCGCGCCAAAUGGUAGCUUCGGCUUCUACUCUGGGAUGGGCCCGCGCCGGAUUAGCUUGUUGGUGAGGUAACGGCUCACCAAGGCGACGAUCCGUAGCUGGUCUGAGAGGACGAUCAGCCACACUGGGACUGAGACACGGCCCAGACUCCUACGGGAGGCAGCAGUGGGGAAUCUUGCGCAAUGGGCGAAAGCCUGACGCAGCAACGCCGCGUGAGCGAAGACGGCCUUCGGGUUGUAAAGCUCUGUCAGGAGGGACGAAGCCACUCAGGUGAAUAGCCGAGAGGGUGACGGUACCUCCAGAGGAAGCCCCGGCUAACUACGUGCCAGCCGCCGCUGUAAAAC
rnacentral:rRNA from 1 species